UGUGCCCUACGGGGCGCAGCAGUGAGGAAUAUUGGUCAAUGGGCGCGAGCCUGAACCAGCCAAGUCGCGUGAGGGAUGACGGUCCUACGGAUUGUAAACCUCUUUUGCCGGGGGACAAACGGCGGCACGCGUGCCGUCCUGAGGGUACCCGGAGAAAAAGCAUCGGCUAACUCCGUGCCAGCAGCCGCGGUAAUACGGAGGAUGCGAGCGUUAUCCGGAUUUAUUGGGUUUAAAGGGUGCGUAGGCGGGAUGCCAAGUCAGCGGUCAAAUACGGGGGCUCAACCUGCGUCCGCCGUUGAAACUGG
rnacentral:rRNA from 1 species